rnacentral:guide_RNA from 1 species
GGACUUGUAUAAUAACAUAAAACAGACGAAAUGGGAUGUAGGCAA